UACGUAGGUGACCAGCGUUGUCCGGAUUUACUGGGCGUAAAGCGUGCGCAGGCGGUUGUGCAAGACAGAUGUGAAAUCCCCGGGCUUAACCUGGGAACUGCAUUGUGACUGCACGGCUGGAGUGCGGCAGAGGGGAUGGAAUUCCGCGUGUAGCAGUGAAAUGCGCAGAUAUCAGGAGGAACACCGGUGGCGAAGGCGGGUCUCUGGGCCGGUAUUGACGCUGAGGCGCGAAGCUAGGGAGCAACGGG
rnacentral:rRNA from 1 species